GACGAACCGUGCGAACGUUAUUCGGAAUCACUGGGCUUAAAGCGCGUGUAGGCGGGAGGGCACGUCCGUUGCUGAAAUCCCCCGGCUCAACCGGGGAACGGGCGCGGAUACGACUCUCCUUGAGGGGCGUAGGGGGACCUGGAACUUCCGGUGGAGCGGUGAAAUGCGUUGAGAUCGGAAGGAACGCCCGUGGCGAAAGCGAGGUCCUGGACGUCUACUGACGCUGAGACGCGAAAGCUAGGGGAGCGAACGGG
rnacentral:rRNA from 1 species